GUAGGGAAUCUUCCACAAUGGACGAAAGUCUGACGGAGCAACGCCGCGUGAGUGAAGAAGGUUUUCGGAUCGUAAAGCUCUUUCGUUAGGGACGAACGUGCUCUUUGUGAAUAAUGAGGAGUAAUGACGGUACCUAAAUAAGAAGCCACGGCUAACUACGUGCCAGCAGCCGCGGUAAUACGUAGGUGGCAAGCGUUGUCCGGAAUUAUUGGGCGUAAAGCGCGCGCAGGCGGGAUAUCAAGUCUGUCUUAAAAGUGCGAGGCUCAACCUCGUGAGGGGACAGAAACUGGUAUUCUUGAGUGUCGGAGAGGAAAGUGGAAUUCCAAGUGUAGCGGUGAAAUGCGUAGAGAUUUGGAAGAACACCAGUGGCGAAGGCGACUUUCUGGACGAUGUCUGACGCUGAGGCGCGAAAGCUAGGGGAGCGAACGGGAUUAGAAACCCUAGUAGUCC
rnacentral:rRNA from 1 species